GGCAUUUGUUUUUGCCAUAGUAAAUACUUAAAGCAGAUGUACAAUCCAUGCUCAAUGGCCAUGUUAGGCCCUUUUGGAAAAAACAGUUCAGGCUG